CAACACUAUAGGAUAUAUAAUAAGCCUGCAGGUCACCACCCUGUGUGCUCCUAGUUCCUGCUCAUCUGGCAUUCAGGCAUGCUACAAUGACCCAGUGAUCCUGUGUGACAGGCCAGGCAGGGCUCUGGCUGUUUGUGUCAAUCCAGAUCAAUCACUCCCUCUUCUGGACGGACAACGUCAUCAACGUGCAAAAAGGUCACGAGGUGUACUCAAGCCAGGCCUGAUGUGAAGAGGUUGUGAUCUCUGGAGUCACUCACUGGGGCCCUGCUUUCCUCCUGUCAGUGAGAGGGUUUCACUGCUGUUAUACUUCAGGCUGUUAUUGUUGGCCCUCUUGCAGCUCCGGUCCUGGAAACCCAUUUUUGGUACUAGAAGGAUGCACGAAAAU